rnacentral:lncRNA from 1 species
CGCUGUGUGUGUACGCUUGGCAUGCUGACUCUUUACUCAAGUGUUUAAAAUAUGGUUGCAGUGCUUCGCUACUACCCGUCCUGCAGAGCUGAUCUCUCUGAAGGACUCCGCGUGUGGCCACAACUCCUUGCUGAGGUCCAACCCAAUCAGUUGACCAAGUGAGAUCAAUGAGCCUACCAUUUAUGCUGCUGAACUUUUAGCACCGAGGAUGAUAGGUGAAAAAUAAAAAUAAAGAAAAACCUUCAAAUUCAAGGCUAAGUCCCGAGAUGAAUCAUUAUUUGUAAACUUGACAAGUUUCAUCUGGAAAUCAUGGAAAAAAGAACUGCAUAUUUAUGGAUGAUUUUCAGCUGGGACAGCCUAAAGCCAGGCAGCAGGGAUGAUCCAUGGGAUGGUGCCUUGGGGAUGAUGCCUGCAGUACUCCUAAAAUACGGGAACAUGACUGAAGACAGAGCUGAGAGAAGCCUGGUAACUGACAGAAAAUAUCCCAGCAAUGGAUGAAGAAGCAAACGAAUAAAAUAAUGAAGUGAUAAGUCAUACAAAUUGUUUCUUUGCUCUGAGUGAAAGGGGAAACGUGACAGUAUCUGACAGAGCAGGUCACUUUGAUGGCAGUCUUCCUGAGACCUACUGUCCCAGCAGAAGCUAUUUGAUUUCAUUUAUAAGGAAAUGUUUGUUUCAAAAGAUCAGUCUCAUUCAAGCUUUCUCUGCCAUUCCUUUUUAAACAUCUAUCUGAUGCCUGAACUUCCAAGUAAUUUUCUUGUCACAAAGACUGUGCAGAAGAGGAAAGAAAACCCCUGCUGCUUCCUCCCUUCCUUUUCAUUCGAUUAUUUACUUGUUUUUCAGACUCUCUUCUCCAUUUCCAUUUUUGUCAGCUCUUUUCUGUGCCAGCCCCUCUUCUUUCUGCCUGGUGCAUCUGUGUAUGCGGGUCUGCAUAUUUGCACAACCAGUCAGAUUGUUUUAACAACACUAACGAUCCCUGCUAACUCAUCUCGUACCAAGACUCUGGUCCCUGCCACCAGACCCCCUGUGCAGAGGCAGCAGUACCCUGUCACCCCCAGGAUCACCAGGAAACGCCACCCCCAUGCCUGCCAAGGAGGAAGGCUUGGGCCAAGAGGCCCCUCCUCACACCUAGAAUAGCUAUGGUUGCUUUGCUUAGCCUACUUUUAAUACCAGAGUAGGCAAAGCACUGCUACGUCUUAUGGUUGGAAGAUGUCGUGUGUGCUCUCAUGGCGUGGCUUCUCCCACAAACAGGAGAUAACCCACCCGGGCUGGUGCAGCCAUUUACUGUAAGCACCUCCGCACUUGUAAAACCAUUUCUGUUUAAAGUUACCACACACAUUUACUUACAGGAACAAAAAACUGUGUAGAUCAGGCCUCAAGCACGUGUAUCUUGAAACAGACAUGCCCAAGAGGAAAGAUCCAUAGUACACCGAACCCCACCACGAGCACUGCCUCCCGUGAAAUGGUGGUGCUCUAGGGGCUUGCAACCAUGUAGGCCUGUCACAGAUGGGGCCUGAGGUUUAAAACACGUUACCACACACACAAAGCCUAUCUCGUUAUCCAUCUCUACAACAUUUUAUGCUGUUGCUUGGAGAUUUCACUAGAAUCUCUUUCGGUCUUAUGCCUAACCAGCUCCUACAGCAUUUUCACUUCUGCUCUCGUGAGAGCUGGGUUUCGUUUUCUCUUCGGCUCCUUGAAGUUUCACACAGUAAUUAGAAAGUAAUUAAGAUGUGCACAUUUUUCGUCCUAUCAUUUUUCUCCUUUCUUAAUCUGAUGUCUGGCAAGCUGAUUAUUUGCAUUUAUUUUAGAUAAACUAAAAACUUUAAGUAUCUGUUGGCAUCAAGAAAGUUUUUCAGUAACUGAAAUAGGCUUAAGGAAGUGACUUUUUCUCAUUUCCAUUUUUUUUUAAGAAUAUUUCUUGGAAAAC